rnacentral:misc_RNA from 1 species
CCAAACCAAUUAUAAGAACUCAGCUCUGCUCCCCUCCGUUCCCUCUUGCUUCAGUCUCCACCUCCCAUCCACCACCUUCUUCUACGGCGUCGUUUCCCUCCCCUUCGCAUUUCCUAUCUCCUCUUUCACGUCUUACCGCUUCCUGAUUUUAUUAGUUUUUUAGUUAAGAGUUUUGUUAAUUGUUCUCGCUAAUGAGAAGACUUCCCUUAGCGAACGUAAAAGUUUUCUGCUUUAAAGACGCAAGAACUGACAAGUUUUAGCAUAGAGUUUCAGCUUUUUUCAUCUCAUAGCAGAGAGAGAGAAAGAGCUGGAGAGUUCUUUUUGUUUUUUGUUUCCUGGGGAGUGUUGACAAAAAACUGCGAUUAAAGCCAUUUUUGUUGGUUUUCACUUCAAACUUCCGUUGAAUUUUGAGUGAUUCCGGAGGUGGGUUUCUCAAUUUUCCCACUAUAAGGUUAGAAAUUUCGAUUUCGCUUCCUUUGGCAAUGCAGUCUCUGAAUUCUGGGGAGAAUAAGGGAUAGUGGUGAACAAGAUGAUGGAAAACAAAAGAAGCCCCUGCUCUGUUGACCAGGCCAGUCUUACUUCUCUUGCAAAUAAACGUCAUAAGGCUGAUCUUUCUAUCUCGACAAAGGUUUUCCCUGCACACCCCUGCACCUUUGCACCUUUUUCCCUUUUUAUACAUCUCUUCUUCUGGAAUACAGUUUUCUCUACAUUUAUUUGUUUUGUUUACUGAAUAUAUGAGUUCAUGAUAACUAUCAAUUUAACUGGGGUGCAUAGCUCAAAUAAAGCCCAUUCCCUAUACAUACAGUAAGAUUCAUGAUCCUUUGGCAUUGUGCUUCUUUAUCAAGCACCCUCUUUUUGGUCCUUGGCAAUCUUUUCUUUUUUCUUUCUUUUUUUUUUCCUUUUCUUCUUUCUAUCUCUGCGUCGCUGGGUAUGGUCAUGACCGUCCAUUAAAACCCUAAUUUUCGUAUCUUUACACUCUUCACUCCACAGAAACAAAAGCUAAAAGGGGGUUUAAUAGUAGGGAUAUAUGUCCCUCAAUCAAUCAAGGUCCGAUAAGAGCGAGUCACAGUAUCUGAAAUCAGGACGAUCCGCAGGCUCUAAUCAGCAGCGGACCUCCUCAGGUGCUUACGGUAAGGGCGGCGGCGGCGGGCCCGCCCCUUCACCGUCUUCUUCUAUUUCUUCCAAUCGGAGUUUUAAGAAGCCUAACAAUGUACAAGGACGGCAAUCAAGGGUACACGUACCAGCUGUCAAUUCUUCCGAUCCUGCUAAUUCUUCUGCGCCCCGACAUGUGCAGAAUGGUGCCCAUGUGCAGCCUCCGUUACCCGGAGCAUCUGAUGCGCAUGUUUCAAUUGGUACUGGCAAGCCAAACGAAAUGCAGAUCACUCAGAGGAGUACCCGAGCUGUUCCUAAGGUUCCAACUUCUCAAUCUCCCACCAUGAAUUCUGAGAAUGCGUCACCUAUGACACCUGCUAAAGGUCCUGCAGAUGCAUCUAAGGCAUUCCCAUUUCAGUUCGGGUCUAUAAGUCCUGGUUUCAUGAAUGGGAUGCAGAUUCCUGCUCGAACAAGCUCAGCUCCUCCUAAUUUGGAUGAGCAGAAACGUGACCAGGCACGCCAUGAUACAUUUAGAUCUGUUCCUCCAUUGCCAACUCCUGCUCCUAAGCAACAAUUACCAAGGAAGGAUGUAGGUGGUGUUGACCAUUCUAGUGCUGGGGAGGCUCAUCCAAUGCCCAAAGCCAAGAAGGAUGUCCAAGUCUCAACUGCACAGCCUGUGAGCCAGACACAAAAGCCGUCUGUUCUUCCCCUUCCUAUGCCUUCCAUGCAAAUGCCAUUUCACCAGCCACCUGUGUCUGUGCAGUUUGGUGGCCCAAAUCCACAGAUGCAGUCACAAGGUCUCACCCCAACAUCACUUCAAAUGCCAAUGCCAAUGGCAGCAUUACCAAUGGGAAGUGCCCCUCAAGUGCAACAGCCAAUGUUUGUUCAAGGUCUUCAACCCCAUCCGAUGCAGCCUCAGGGAAUCAUGCAUCAGGGCCAGGGCUUGAGUUUUCCACCUCAAAUGGGUCCUCAGCUGCCUCCUCAGUUAGGCAACUUAGGAAUUGGGAUCACCUCACAAUAUCCUCAACAACAGGGAGGAAAAUUUGGUGGUCCUCGUAAAACAACAGUUAAGAUAACUGAUCCAAGAACGCAUGAAGAGUUGAGGCUUGAUAAGCGGACAGACACAUAUGUAGAUGGCGGAUCAUCAGCCCUUAGACAUCAUCCUAAUAUGCCUCCUCAAUCCCAGCCAAUUCCGUCAUUUGCACCUACUCAUCCAAUCAAUUACUAUUCAAAUUCUUAUAAUCCAAGUAAUCUAUUUUUUCAACCUUCGAGUUCACUACCGCAUACCAGUGGCCAGAUAGCACCCAAUUCUCAGCCUCCUAGGUUUAAAUAUGUUAGCCAAGGUCCACAAAAUGUAUCAUCCUUGAAUCCACCUUCCCUUAAUUCUCUGCCGGUUAACAAGUCUGGGACUUCAAUGCAUGUGGCAGAACCAUCAAAUGCGGAACAUACUCGCGAUGCACAUAAUGUGAUCUCAUCUGCUUCUUCAGGAACUGUACAGGUGAAAGUGAAACCAACAGCUAGUUUUAUUGGGGAGAAGGUUGUGGAUUCAGUGUCAUCUAAUAGCUCGUCUGCAAUUGAAAAGGUUGGAUAUGUUAAACCUUCAGGGCCCUCCAUGGAAGCUAAUUCAUCUAAUGUACAAAAGGAUUUAGAGAAAGUUCUAGAAAGUUCUUCACUGCAUUCAAAACCUGAUAGUGAAUCUUCAACAUCCAAAUCAUUGCUGGUGGAAUCUAGACAAUCUGCUGCAGUCACUGUUGAUAGUGUGGCACCCAAUUCUUCAUUGCCUGCUGCUCCUGCUCUAUCUGAAGAAUUAAUGCUUGUUGGGAGCAACAGUGAAGGCAAAAGAAAGGAAACUCUGAGUAGGUCAAACUCCAUUAAGGAUCAUCAGAAGAAGCCAGGCAAAAAAGUACAUAACCAGUCCCAGCAACAGAUUGGUGGGCAAUCUAGCUCAAUGUCAGGCUUUUCUUGUCAUAAUGUAGAACGGGGAAUAUCUUCUAACAGCGGAUUGUCUGAUUCUGUAGAAAGUAAAAGAAUUCUUACUUCUUCAUCAGCAACCAGUGAAGGCUUGGCAGAAUUAAGGCAGGAAUCAGUUCCAAUGAUCAGUGCUUCAACUUCUCAAGUGUCUGAAGCCAAAUUUGAUGAUUCUGUAAAUGGUUUUGUUGGUGUUCCUUCCGAAUUUUCUGGUGUUCAAGGUAUUGUUGAUAUUGCAGAUUCUGCUCAUCAAGCUAAGGUAAAUGAUUUUUCCCGACAGGAACAGCUUAAUUAUGGAACUCCAGAAACUGAAGGGCAAGGACAAAAGGGAUUGCCUAAAGGUCCCAAACAAGAUGAUAAUAUUUCAGAGAUUUCUUCAGGAUCUAUUACUUCAAAAUCAGCAGACAUAGUCAAUCAAAGUACGGAGGAAUCUGCUUCAACAGGUACAGAUUUUGGCAAUGAGGUUAUAAACAUAGAGACCAUGCAGGAAGGGCUAGAUGAACCUGUGACUUGCCACAUAGAAAAUAACGGGAUGUCAGAUAACAUGAUUGUUUCUGCAUCCAAAAAUUUGGAAUCUGCAGAUGUUGGAAAGUUCCAUUCUGAUGACAACCUGAUGUCGGAUGAGUCUUCAAGCAAAAGUGAUAAUAUGGGUGGUAAAGAAGUAUCUGUUAUGAAAUCUGGUGCAUCAGAUCAGCAGUGUGCCCCAGUUACAACUUCGGACCUUACUGAGGCAACUUCAAGGCAUGAAGGAGAAGUUGUGGAAAAUAGUGGUGCUGGCUUGGUCUCCCUUGCAGUAUCGAGUUCCAAGGACAAAGCUGUUGACCUGACUAAGACAAAGAGUACCACUGCCAAGCUGAAGAAUAAGAGAAGGGAAUAUCUUCGGAAAGCUGAUGCUGCUGGGACAACUUCUGAUCUUUAUAUGGCAUAUAAAGGUCCAGAAGAAAAGAAAGAAAGUGUUGCUUCUGCAGAAGCAAUGGAAAACACCUCUACUAGCUCUAAUGUGAAGCAGGCACCUGUGGACACACUUGAAGUGGAUUCCAUGACAAGUGAGACAGGCAUCCAGAAUAAAGCUGAGCCGGAUGAUUGGGAAGAUGCUGCUGACAUCUCUACACCAAAACUGGAAACUUCAGAUAAUGGGGAGCAGGCACUUGGUGGGUUAAUGCAACAUGGCAGAAUUGAGAAUGCUAAUACAGCAAAAAAGUAUUCCAGAGACUUCCUUCUGAAAUUUUCUGAGCAAUAUACUGAUCUUCCUGAACAUUUUGAAAUUUCAUCUGAUAUUGCAGAGGCUCUUAGUCUUUCUCAUUUUGUUGAACGGGAUUCAUAUCCUAGUCCUGUAAGAGUCAUUGACAGGUCAAAUAGUGGAUCUCGGAUGGACCGUCGUGGAAGUGGUAUGGCUGAUGAUGAUCGAUGGAGUAAACUACCUGGUCCCUUUGGCAUGGGGAGGGAUUUACGUGUGGAUAUUGGUUUUGGAGGUAAUACUGGAUUUCGACCUGGCCAAGGAGCAAAUUAUGGUGUUCUAAGGAAUCCACGAGCACAGAGUCCUCAAUAUGUGGGAGGUAUCCUAUCCGGGCCUGUGCAGUCAAUGGGUCCUCAGGGAGCUAUGCAAAGAAAUAGCCCAGAUGCUGAUAGAUGGCAGCGUGCUACGAAUUUCCAACAAAAGGGAUUGAUUCCUUCUCCUCAGACUCCAUUGCAGAUGAUGCACAAGGCUGAGAAAAAGUAUGAAGUGGGUAAAGUGGCAGAUGAAGAAGAGGCCAAACAAAGGCAGUUGAAAGCUAUCUUGAACAAGCUAACUCCGCAGAAUUUUGAAAAACUUUUUGAGCAAGUGAAAGCAGUUAACAUAGACAAUACUGCCACACUUACUGGUGUUAUCUCGCAGAUCUUUGACAAAGCUUUAAUGGAGCCUACUUUCUGUGAAAUGUAUGCCAACUUUUGCUAUCAUCUGGCUGGAGGAUUACCUGAUUUUACUAAAGAUAAUGAAAAGAUAACUUUCAAGAGGUUACUUCUUAACAAGUGCCAGGAGGAAUUUGAGAGAGGGGAGAGAGAGCAAGAAGAAGCUAAUAAAGCUGAUGUGGACGGUGAGACUAAACAGUCUGAAGAAGAAAGAGAAGAAAAAAGAAUUAAGGCACGAAGACGAAUGCUUGGCAAUAUAAGACUAAUUGGGGAGUUGUAUAAGAAGAAAAUGUUGACUGAGAGAAUAAUGCAUGAAUGCAUCAAAAAACUCCUGGGUCAGUAUCAGAAUCCUGAUGAGGAAGAUGUUGAGGCUUUAUGCAAACUAAUGAGCACAAUUGGAUAUAUGAUUGACCAUCCCAAAGCCAAGGAGCAUAUGGAUGCCUAUUUUGACACGAUGGCAAAGUUAUCAAACAACAUGAAACUAUCUUCGAGGGUAAGGUUUAUGUUAAGGGAUGCCAUUGAUCUGAGAAAGAACAAAUGGCAGCAGAGGAGGAAGGUUGAAGGGCCAAAAAAGAUUGAGGAAGUGCAUAGAGACGCUGCUCAAGAACGGCAGCAUCAAACUAGUAGGCUGUCUCGCAAUCCUAGCAUAAAUUCCUCUGCAAGAAAGGCACUUGGGGAUUUUGGGCCUAGAGGUUCGGCCAUGUUAUCUUCCCCAAAUGCUCAGAUGGGUGGUUUCCAUGGUUUGCCUGCCCAGGUUCGCGGGUAUGGGACCCAGGAUGUUCGUUUUGAGGAGAGGCAGCCAUAUGAGGCUAGGACUUUGUCAGUUCCCUUACCUCGGCCUCUUGGUGAUGAUUCAAUUACUUUGGGUCCCCAAGGUGGGCUUGCCAGAGGAAUGUCUAUUAGAGGGCUACCUGCAAUGGCAAGCACUCCUGUAGCUGAUCUCUCUGCUAGCUCAGGCGACUCGAGAAGAAUCGCCGCAGGUUUGAAUGGUUUUAGUACUGUGUCUGAGAGGCCAGCUUAUAGUCCAAGGGAGGAUUUUGUUGCAAGAUAUGCUCCUGAGAGAUUUGCAGUUCCAGCUGCUUUUGAUCAAAUGAGUGCUCAGGAACGAAAUAUGAGUUAUGUCAAUAGGGAUACUAGGAAUCAAGAUCGCAGUUUUGAUAGACCUCAUGCAACAUCUCCACCUGCAACAGCUCAGGUACCAGCUGUCACCCAAAAUAUUCCAUCAGAAAAGGUGUGGCCUGAAGAAAAACUACGAGACAAGUCAAUGGCAGCAAUUAAAGAAUUUUACAGUGUCAGAGACGAGAAAGAAGUUGCUUUGUGCAUCAAGGAAUUGAAUUCGUCAAGUUUCCAUCCUUCAAUGAUCUCUCUCUGGGUGACGGAUUCAUUUGAGAGGAAGGACAUGGAGAGAGAUCUUUUGGCUAAACUUCUUGUCAAUCUUGCAAGGUCUCAAGAUGGCAUAUUAACUCCACCCCAGCUCAUCAAAGGGUUUGAGUCAGUUCUCACCUCUUUGGAGGAUGCUGUUAAUGAUGCCCCAAAAGCAGCAGAAUUUCUUGGCCGCAUGUUUGCCAAAGUUGUAUUAGAAAAUUUAGUCCCUUUGACAGAAAUUGGGCAACUAUUACAUGAAGGUGGAGAGGAGCGAGGCCGUCUUCUUGAGGUUGGACUUGCAGGGGAUGUUCUUGGAAGUACAUUGGAGAUGAUAAAAGCAGAGAAAGGGGAGAGUGUCUUAAAUGAGAUUCGAAUUAGCUCCAAUUUGCAUCUGGAGGAUUUCCGGCCUUUGGAUCCUAACAGAUCAAGGAUAUUACAAAAAUUUAUUUAGAUGAUAGUGAAUGCUCAUUGUAUCUUUGUUAGAAAAGAAAUCCCAAUGUCUAGUGCAUCUAGGUUACCUAUAAAUAUUUUUCAACAUGGGUGGGUGGUUGGGGAUUUAUGUGGGGUUGUCAUCUCCAUGUCCUAAUAUUAUUCUUUAAAAUAUUCACUGCAAUUAUGAAAGGUUCAAUUGAGCAUCGGAAUUUUAGGACUUCAAAUCACUGGGGGGGAGGGGGAUAGGAUAUUGGAACAACCGUUUAUGUUAUCAUGUUAUCCGUGAUCAAUUAUUUUUCAUGAUUUUUAUGUCAAUGUAUUUAUGUUACCUAACCAAUUGAUGGUAUGCGAUUGUAGCUGCGGUCGCUUAUGGAUGGAAGGGUCAAUGGCUCCUGCUGAGAGAAGAUUGUUGCCAAGUAUGGUGCAUCAUGCGUUUCUUGUGAAACGUCUAGGAUUGCUAAUGCUGCUUUGGCAACUCCUUUUUGGACGUUCUGUGCUUGCUGCUGAGUGCUCU